UUAAUCUCUGAUCAUAAUCCAUACUCUCUAAACCAGGCAGCAUCCUGGUAAAUCUCCUCUGUACCCUUUCCAAUGCUUUCACAUCCUUCCUAUACUGAGGUGACCAGAACUGGACACAGUACUCCAAGUGUAGCCUAACUAGAGUUUUAUAGAGCUGCAUCAUUACAUCGCGUCUCUUAAACUCUAUCCCAGCGGCUUAUAAAAGCUGACACCCCAUAAGCUUUCUUAACUACCCUAUCUACCUGUGAGGCAACUUUCAGGGAUCUGUGGAUAUGUACCCCCAGAUCCCUCUGCUCCUCCACACUACCAAGUAUCCUGCCAUUUACUUUGUACUCUGCCUUGGACUUUGUCAUACUUCUUCAGGUUGAACUCCAGCUGCCACUUCUCAUGAAUCCUAUGAAUGUCUCUCUGCAAUUUUUGACAAUCCUCAACACUAUCUACAACAACACCAAUCUUUGUGUUGUCUGCAAACUUGCCAACCCACCCUUCUACCCCCACAUCCAGGUCGUUAAUAAAAAUCACAAAAAAUAGAAGUCCCAGAACAGAUCCUUGUGGACUAGUCACAACCCUCCAAUCUGAAUGUACUCCCUCCACCAUGACCCUCUGCCUUCUGCAGGCAAGCCAAUUCUGAAUCCACCUGUCCAAAUCUCCCUGGAUCCCAUGCCUUCUGACUUUCUGAAUAAGCCUACCGUGUGGAACCUUGUCAAAUGCCUUACUAAAAUCCAUGUAGAUCACAUCCACUGCACUACCCUCAUCUAUAUGCCUGGUCACCUCCUCAAAGAACUCUAUCAGGCUUGUUAGGCAUGAUCUGCCCUUCACAAAGCCAUGCUGACUGUCCCUGAUCUGACCAUGAUUCUCAAAAUGCCCUUAGAUCCUAUCUCUAAGAAUCUUUUCCAACAGCUUUCCCACCACAGACAUAAGGCUUGCUGGUCUAUAAUUAUGUGGACUUUCCCUACUAUAUUUUUUGAACAAGGGGACAACAUUUGUCUCCCUCCAAUCCUCUGGUACCAUUCCCGUGGACAACGAGGACAUAAAAAUCCUAGCCAGAGGUUCAGCAAUCUCUUUCCUUGUCUUGUGGAGCAGCCUGGGGAAUUUUUAGCAUCCUAUGGACUCAGACCCCAAGAUCCCUCUGCUCCUCCACACUGCCAAGAAUCUUAUCAUUCAUACUAUAUUCUGCCAUCAUAUUCGACCUACCAAAAAGAACCACUUCAUACUUAUCUGGGUUGAACUCCAUCUGCCAAUUCUCAAGCCAGUUUUGCAUCCUAUCAAUGUCCCGCUGUAACCUCUGACAGCCCUCCACACUAUCCAUAACACCUCCAACCUUUGUGUCAUCAGCAAACUUACUGAUUUAGCCCUCCACUUCCUUAUUAGGUCAUUUAUAAAAAUCAUGAAGAGUAAGGGUCCCAGAACAGAUCCCUGAGGCACUCCACUGGUGGCUGAUCUCCAUGCAGAAUAUGACGCGUCUACGACCACACUUUGCUUUCUGUGGGCAAGCCAGUUCUAGAUCCACAAAGCAAUGUCCCCUUGGAUCCCAUGCCGUCAUACUUUCUCAAUAAGCCUUGCAUGGGGAACCUUAUCAGAUGCCUUGCUGAAAUCCAUAUACACUACAUAGAACUAUAGAACCAUAUAUAGUACACUACAUCUACUGCUCUUCCUUCAUCAAUGAGUUUAGUCACAUCCUUAAAAAAUUCAAUCAGGUUCAUAAGAUAGGUCUUAUUCUUUCACAUCUUAUCCUCUUGCUCUACACAUACUUGUAGAAUGCCUUGGGGUUUUCUUUAAUUCUGCCCGCCAAGGCCUUCUGGUUUUCCUAAUUUCCUUCUUAAGCUCCUUCCUAGUAGCCUUAUAAUAUUCUAGAUCUCUACCAUUACCUAGCUCUCGGAACCUUUUGUAAGCUUUUCUUUUCUUCUUGACUAGAUUUAUUGCAGCCUUUGUAAACAACAGUUCCUGUACCCUACCAUAACUUCCCUGUCUCAUUGGAACGUACCUAUACAGAACUGUACACAAAUAUCCCCUGAAUAUUUGCCACAUUUCUUCUGUACUCUUCCCCAAGAACAUCUGUUUCCAAUUUAAGCCUCCAAUUCCCUGCCUGAUAGCCUCAUAAUUCCCUUUACUCCAAUUACACUUGUUUGUUCCUAUCCCUCUCCAAUGCUAUUAUAAAGGAGAUAGUAUUGUGAUCACUAUCUCUAAAAUGCUCUCCCACUGAGAGAUCUGACAUCUGACCAAGUUUACUUCCCAAUACCAAAUCAAGUACAGCCUCUCCUCUUGUAGGCUUAUCUACUUACUGUGUCAAGAAACCUUCCUGAACACACCUAACAAACUCCACCCCAUCUAAACCCCUUGCUCUAGGGAGAUACCAAUCAAUAUUUGGGAAAUUAAAAUCUCCCAUCAAGACAACUUUUAUUACUACACCUUUCCAGGAUCUGUUUCCCUGUCUGCUCCUCGAUAUCCCUGUUACUGUUAGGUGGCCUAUUAAAAACACACAGUAAAGUUAUUGACCACUUCCUGUUCCUAACCUCAAACACAGAGACUCCAUAGACAAUCCCUCCAUGGCGUCCACCUUUUCUGCAGCUGUGACACUAUCUCUGAUCAACAGUGCUAUGCCCCCACCUCUUUUGCCUCCCUCCCUGUCUUUUCUGAAACAUCUAAAACCCAGCACUUUAAGUAACCAGUCCUGUCCCUGAGCCAUCCAAGUCUCUGUAAUGGCCACCACGUCAUAUCUCCAAGUACUCAUCCACGCUUUAAGCUCAUCCGCUUUGUUCACAACACUGCUUGCAUUAAAAUAGACACAUCUCAAGUCUACGGUCUGAGCGUCUCCCUUCUCUAUCACCUGCCUAUCCUUCCUCUUGCACUGUCUACAAGCUUUCUCUAUUUGUGAGCUAACCUCCUCUUCCCCAGUCUCUUCAGUUCGGUUCCCAUCCCCAAACAAUUCUAGUUUAAACUUUCCCCAGUAGCCUUAGCAAACCUCCCCGCCAGGAUAUUGGUCCCCCUAGGAUUCAAGUGCAACCCAUCCAUUUUGUGCAGGUCACAUCUGCCCCAAAAGAGGUCCCAAUGAUCCAGAAUUCUUGACCCCUGCCCCCUGCUCCAAUCCCUCAGCCAUGCAUUUAUCCUCCACCUCAUCCUAUUCCUAGUCUCACUGUCACGUGCAACAGGCAGUAAUCCCGAGAUUACUACCUUUGUGGUCCUGUUUCUCAACUUUCUUCCUAACUCCCUGUAGUCUUUUUUCAGGAUCUCUUCCCUUUUCCUACCUAUGUGAUUGGUACCAAUAUGCACCACAACCUCUGGCUGUUCUCCCUCCCACUGCAGGAUAUCUUGGACGCGAUCAGAAACAUCCCAGACCCUGGUACCUGGGAGGCAAACUACCAUCCGAGUUUCUUUCCUGCGUCCACAGAAUCGCCUGUCUGACCCCCUAACUAUAGAGUCCCCUAUCACUACUGCCUUCGUCUUGCCUUCCCUACCCUUCUGAGCCACAAGUAGGCUGUCCCUUCCAAAAAUACUUAAACAGGAGUGCUUAUUGUCAAGGGGUACAGCCACAGAGGUACCCUCUAGUACCUGAUUUUCCCCCUCCCCCUCCUGACUGUGACCCACUUGUCUGUCUCCCGAUACCCUGGUGUGAGCAACUGCCUAUAACUCUUCUCUAACACCUCCUCGUUCUCCCCGACUAGGCGAAGGUCAUUGAUCUGCAUCUCCAGUUCUCUGACUUGGUACCUCAGGAGCUGCAGCUCGACACACCUGGUGCAGAUAUGGCCGUCUGGGAAGCUGGGAGACUCUAGGAUCUCCUGCAUCUGACACUGAGCACAGAAAACUGGCCUCAUACACAUACUUCCUACCUCGCCUCAUCCCGUUACCACCUAAGACCAUUGAGCCAAAGCCCUACCACUCUGCUGCCCAUUCCGAUGCUGCCUGCUGGUUAUGGCUGCCUUCUUUUUAAACCUUUUGCGCUCAACUGACUGACGAAAUGCGCCUGUGCAGUCUCACACCUCUUUAACCCGAGUAGUAAAAAAAAUCUCCCUUCGCUCCGAAAAAUCAGCAGUUCACUCGCAACCUUCUUGCUCCGAGUCAAAAACCAUUGAAGAUUCCUUGCCUUUUUAAACCUUUCGCACUCUACUGGCUGACACCAUGUGCCUGCACUUCACAGGAAAGCAGCAUCCAUCAUCAAGGACCCCCAACACCCAGGCCAUGCUCUCUUCUCACUGCUGCUGUCAGAAAGACCUGCAGGAGCCUUAGGACUCAUUCCACCAGGUCAGGAUCUGUUAUUACCCUUCAGCAAGAAGGGAUAACGUCACUCACGUUCAAUUGCCCCAUCACUGAACUGUUGCCAGAACUAGACAGACGGACAGACAGACAGACAUACUUUGUUGAUCCCGAGGGAAAUUGGGUUUUGUUACAGUCACGCCAACAAGAAAAGUGUAGAAAUAUAGCAAUAUAAAACCAUAAAUAAUUAAAUAAAAAUAGGUAAAUUAUGCCAAGUGGAAAUGUCCAGGACCAGCCUAUUGGCUCAGGGUGUCUGACAUUCCGAGGGAGGAGUUGUAAAGUUUGAUGGCCACAGGCAGGAAUGACUUCCUAUGACGUUCUGUGUUGCAUCUCGGUGGAAUGAGUCUCUGGCUGAAUGUACUCCUGUGCCUAACCGGUACAUUAGGGAGUAUGAGCUCACUUUCAAGGGCUCUUCAUUUAAAGUUCUAGAUAUUCAUUGCUAAUUUAUUUAUUAGCAUUACAAUUUUUGUCUCUUUUGUAUCUGCACAGUUUGUUGUCUUUUGCACGUUAGAUGUUUGUCCAUCCUGUUAGGUGUGGUCUUCCAUUGAUUCUAUUGUGUCUCUUGAAUUUACUGUGUGCGCCCACCAGAAAACCAGUCUCCAGGUUGUAUAUGGUGACAUAUCCGAAUUUUGUUAAUGCAUUUACUUUAAUCUUUGAACUUUGAACUUAGUGUCUUGUGAUUUGGAUUGAAGCAAACUGUAUCUAAAUAAUUAAAAGCUUUUCUGGCUAAUUCUUCCUAUAGCCAAUACAGAAAGGUUAAACACAAAUAUUGUGGUCUGUGUACUUGCUCUUUUUAAAAUCAAUAACUUACUGCACUGCAGGUAUCUGAGACCACUAGGCUUCCUUAAUUCUGAUCGUUUUGGUAUGCAAAUACCUGUGCAUGAUUCUAUAGCAACCAUGUCUUCAGCUGUCCAGGAAGUUCCCUGCCUUAACCACUCCAAGCACGUCUCCCCCUUUAAGGUGCUGUUAAAAUCCUUUGCUCAAAAUGUAAUGAUGUUUUGUAAACGUCUGAUUGAACUCGUAUGAAGCACAUUGGGAUGAUUUAUUAAAUUAGAAGGGUAAUGUAAAUGGAACUCAUUGUGAAAAACUACAGUGAGUCAGGUAACUCUGGAUAAGUAUUUGCAAAUUAAUAAUAUUCUGUAGAUACAAAAUGAUUCAGUGAUCACACAGGAAGGUGGAUAAACAUUUAGAGAAAAGGUUUGGCGCAUCUAGAGAAAAUAUUUGUUGGAAAUUCACUUCAUUUCAGAAGCCCCUGCUUAUCCACAUAAUUCUAACUGAACAGCUUUUGAAAUCACAUGAAUGUAACGUAAACAUCAUUUUCUCUUUAUUUUCAGAGUUUCCAUGGCUCUUUUUUUGUGAAGUGCUUUUAAAUUGCAUGCAAAGAACUGUCAAGACUGGUUGCUUGAUCAAGCACUCUUGGCAUAGAGCAAUGUUUCCAGGGAGCACUAGUUUGUAAACCUUAGUCUCACAAAGCGUGAUUUUUCUGUCAACUUAAAUUAAUGAGCAGAAAAUUAGGUACUGCAGCCUUGCAAUACUUCAGCAAACAUCGGCCUUCAACAGAGUGCCUGACUGGGGAAUGAACUCCCUUGUGCAACUGUUUUGGAGAAAUUGUUGCCCCACACGAGUGUGCACAAAACUCAUAGUCUGGGAUAAUCGGUGUAUUUUUCUGGAUUUUGUUCAAUUUAAUGACCUGCUCUAUAAUAACAAAUGAAGUGAUUUUUGGCUGUAUGUGCUGCACUGAUUAAUUUUAUAAAUAUUGCAGAGCAAUGGAAUAAGAAACCUCAGGUGGAAAGCAGAAAUAAGGAAAUGAUGUUGAACAAUGAAAACAGGAAAGAACAAAUUCACCACAUUCUACAGGGGUUGUAUUGAGAGCAUCCUGAGCAGCUGCAUCACUGCCUGGUUCGGAAAUUGUACCAUCUCGGAUUAGACCCUGCAGCGGAUAGUGAGGUC